GGCUGUCUUUUCAUUGGGGGAUAUCACAGCUACUGGAAGCCUUGGUGCAAUUCUGAAAUGAAAUGGCAACUGCAGCUGAAGUCACAUUGAAGACAUUCUCACUCAUAUGUAUGGAGGUUGAUGCUGGCUGUCAGCAGAAUGGUGGUGUUGUCACCCAAAACAUGUACAGGAGGCCCAUCUACAUGAUACCAGAUGCUGCUCAUUUCCUAUAAGUUCUCCUUCCCACAUAUCCUGGCUGUCAUGGUCAACAUAUCUUGAAAGAAGUUGCUGUGGCUGAUAUCGAAG